UUGUCUUGGUAGGCCGACUCCCAAGUAUUUUAUAUUGUCUGAAGUUAUUUUAAAUGGAAUUUCUCAUUUUAUCUCUUCUCAUUUGGUUUUAUUGGUAAUUUCUAGAAAUACUAAUGAUUUAUGUGGAUUUAUUCAAAUGCUGCAACUUGCUGAAGUUAAUUGUUUCAGUCGAUUUUUAGUUGACUGUGUAAGCCGUCAUAUUGUCUGCAGAAAGUCUCUUAACCUUGUAGUUAGCAGUGACCUCCUCUUUGGCUGGAUUCAUAGAUGGAGCUGGGGAGGGGAGACAUUCAGCAGGCAGCAGGCGACCAGGGAAGGCUCUCGACGCUUCUCCUCUAAGGCUGGCAUGUGCCCGCUUGGACCUUGGGCUCUUUGCCUGGGCAUCUGUUCUCUUGUUGCAAGUGAAAGAUAUUAGAGGUUAUGACCUCAUGAGUUUCAAAAGGACAGGACCGUGAAUCACUGGGAGGGCCAGGAGUGCACUCUGUGCUGGAAUUUGCAGCCGUUUGAAGGCCCUGAUGGUUGAUGAUUAAGAAAGUGGAGCCAAGGACCCAUCCAACAGUGAUGCAGCAUUGGAUGCAGACUUGAUGAAGAUGAAGAGGGGAAAACCGCAGCCUGCCUCUCUUUCUGACAAUAUUACUGGCUGAGCCAUCUAUCCAUCAGCAUCAGCUCAUACUAUGCAGGAUCACGACUGAAUGUCAGCUGACCUAACACACACUGGCACUUCAGCCAGCCAGUGACCCAGGAAAACCAACCUUGAAUCCAAGAAGACUUGGUUAAAGUCCUGCCUCUGCCGUGUACUGCCCAUGUGCCUGGGCAUGUGCUCUAGCCAUGAAGGCCGCUGAAGCAGCAGGAUGGAUAAUGAAUGGCAUCAUUAAGAAUCAUCCCUUUUGGGUUAAGGCAUUGCUUUCAGUGUUCUAAUCCUGCUUUCCUGGAGGCAAUAGGGAGCCACAGAAAAUUCUUGAGGAUGGAAGUGAUAUGGUCAGACUUGGGCUUUAGAAGGACUAGAGAAGCCCUUUCUCUUUUUCUCUAUUUCACUUCAAGGAGUUAAUCAAAGACCUCCCAGUACAAAAGAAUCUGAGCUUAUUUUUGCCACCAGCUGAGACCUAUCACUGAAUCUAUUGGGAAGCAGUUUGGAACUGGUGAAAAGACUACUCAACUUUCUGUCACAAGACCUGAGUUCAAAUCUUGGCUUUGCAACUUACUGUGUAAACUUGGGAAAUGAUUGAAUGAAAAGGCAUUUAUUAAGCACUUACGAUAUACCAAGCAUAGGUGCUGCAAAUAGAAAAGCAAAUCUAAUCCUUGUUCUCAAGAACCUUGCAUUGGCAAUGGGAGGAAGCAGCAUAUCUAAGGAUGUGAUGACCUGGGAGAAGUAGUUUUGUCUGGACAGUUGCAGAGAUGAUGGGUGGAGCCAUAGGGAGUAGACUGACACACCCUCUCCAGGAUCAAUAGCAGAACUGAUUUGAUUAUGGUCUGAGAACUGGGAAUUGGGGCUGGGAGGCAAGAUGGUUGGGAGUAAAAUGAAGCAUGGUUGUAUAUGUCACCACAUAUAGUGGGACAUGUGAUCACUAAUCAGGAAAAGUCACUGAGCCCCUCAGUUUCCUCAUUUGUAUCUUGAUAAUACCCCGGAAUUUGUGUUACUUAAGAACUUUUGCACCAAUUUGGUAAGGUUUUAUGAACAAGAGUAGAAAUGCAUACAAGCUAGUUAGGGCUCAUUUUGCAGAUGUUCCUUAGGCAAUGUGAGAUUAUAGUCAUAUCUUAAACUGAUUUUUUGGAACUUGCUGGGAUUUCUUAGUGGCAAGUUUCUAUAAUCAGAAGGUUUUGUAAGUACAGUAACAAAUUUAUUAAAAUAAUUGAUUAUGGAACAUCUUAGAUUACUGUAGAACUGGGACUAUCGAACUCCUGUGUGUGUUCCUGUAUGAGUUAGGGUGCUUUACAAUUAGGUCAGGGGUUUGUGAGAAUGUUAUUUUGUUAUUUGGAUAAUAUCAUACUUGUCUAAAGUUUUGUUACAAUUAAUGAUGUUAAAAGAAGAAUGGCUUGUGGUUUAUUUUGUAAAUGCCAUCAAAGAUACAAGGCAUGACUAAAAGUUUAAGAUCUUGUAUGUACUAUAUUUAUGUAUGUGCUGGAGCCUGUUAUUAAUCCCUUAGUGAAAUCUCAUCCUCCUGGUGAGGAAAUUAAUAAUGGAUUAAUGUAAAGUAUAAGACACUGGGUUUUGAUGUGAAUUUCUUAAACAUGACAAUUGGCCAUGGUUCCAAUUUUGAGUUUGUAAAAAUGAUUAGGGUUACAAGGGUUAGAAAUAGUAGUUUAAAAUUGUGCCGAGGAGAAUGGACUUUUGCAGGAGAAUGGACAGAAAGCUGGUUCCUACAAGAAGCUAAGAAGAAGGUGAUGCUGAGAUGCUGUGCUGGAGACGGCUGGAACAAAUACCGAGGACCAGAGGACUUCACUGAUGAUGUUUCCUGCCAGACAGCUGUAGAAGAAAAGACUUUUUGAAUUUUAAAGGGACAGUUGCAUUAUUGUUUUCUUUUGGGUUUCUGCAUUUGCAUUUAUGAAGGGAUUGUCCCUUUGAUUUGUUAAUGUAUAGAUCAAUCCUUCCCAUAUUUACUCAAAGGGGUGAUGGUUAGAGAGAGAAGAAAAAGAGUGGAGAAGAAUCUGAAUUCAGAUUUAAUAGGAGCCUAAGUCUAGGUGUUGAUAAUAUGGCAUUUCUAAAAUUCUUAGAUUGUAGCAUUUGAGGGGAAUAUUAUCCUACUCCUGGUGUGUCUCCCCUGUAUACAAGACUCCUUGUUCACCUUGGUUAAGAUAGAAGGGAAAGGAGAAAUCAAGCUGAUGGUUCUGAAAGAGUCAGGGUUGGGUGCCAGUCCAAGACCAUCCUGAUGGUUAUGUGAGGAGGCUUCAAAUUGUAAGAAAUGAGAGGGGGAACUGUGAGAGAUGAACUCUCAAAAGUGAAGCUUCCUCAGGGGGGUCAGUGGUUCUUGUUGAGUGGGAUAAGGGGUCCUGUGAAGACUUCUUAGAAGAAUAAAUAGAAAUUGUAUUAGACUCAAGGCAGACAGAGCAGCCUGACAGGCCUAAGUUUCGGUUACUAGAAAUCACCUGAGUUACGGGAGUUCAGUCCCAAGUACCACCCCCCUCCUUUUAGGCCAUUGUUAUAUCAGUAGUUAAAGUUUGCCUGAAACUCCUGAGGAAGCCCCCCGUAUCUUGUUGUACCUGUUGCUAUAUUUCGGUCAUGGUGACCUGGUUAUACAGUGCAGUGUGUAGCUUGACGGCACAUCUUAAAUUGCUUCUUUGGUAUUACUUCAGCAAACUAAGGGGCUAAAUACAGAUAUGUAUAUCGUUCUCUGUUUUGUUUUCUGUUUCCAUAGAUUGUGAGCCAAACAUUGACCAGUUGGUGGGAGAGGGGAUUUGCCCAUUAGGGCUAUUUAAUCUGGUUCUUAGCUCUUGUACCUUGUCUCCCCUCAUCAGAGUAUACUGGCGGAGGGCCACUCUAUUCUUGAGAAUAGUAAAUAAAUUAACUUUCUGUUUCUCCUUGAAAAACUCUAAGUAUGUUUUUUAAUUUCAGUGGCAUCCCACACACUAGCAAAGCAUCGGGAUGUACUGUUUACAUUUUCUGCCUUUGUAGAAAAACUUGCAAAAUGCUACAGGCUUUUCAUUCUUACUUUUAAUUGCCCUUAAUUAUCUGAAGCUUCAGGGCUUUUUUGCUUUUUUGAGGGAGGAAGAGGGUGAUAUUUGGCAUGUGCCAAAGUCCUCAGGCAUUGAGCCAGAGUUUAGGUCAAAGAAGAGGUCAUCAGCGAGGAGCUAUGCACAGAGCCACUCUCUGUCUGUCCGAGGGUCGGCAGUGAAAGGUCCAGGAAGGCCAGCACUCAUUUCAGAGCAGGACAGGCUCCGGACAUGAUGACUCAGCCAAUAGGAUCAGCCCCCUAACAGGGCAGCUCUCUGGGAUUCUGCUCUUCCCCCUUCCCUCCCACUAGUGGUCAGUUCCUUUGUACUUAUUAGCUGUUCUAUGCUUACCUGUGUACAUGUUGUAUCCCCUCUGCAGAGUAGGUGAUUAAUAAAUCCUUGUGGAAUUGAAUUACCUUGA